AUAUGUGGGAAAAGCCUCUGAUGACAUCAAAACUCUCCGAAACAGAAAGUUGAGUGGAUUCAGCUUUGAUUCUAUUGAGACUUUAACUGAUUUGAAAGAAAGUCAGGAUUGACUACAAGCUGGAAAGGCAAAGGACAAUAGAAUUCAUCACUGGUUGUGGUGGUGAAAUUAUUCUCAGCAUUUUGCCCAACAGGUCAUGCCCAAGAAGUCUUAUCACUGUUAGGCACUGCCAUCUCCCUCUUGUAGCAUAAUGGCUUUUUAAGUGAGGAGCAUGAAAGGAUGGCUCAAGAAACAGAAGAGAUCAGUAACGCAAGUUUAAAGGGAGUUUAAAUCUACCUCAGCAGCAGUCCCAGUUACUUCACUCUGAUAACACUGGUUGCUCUAAGGGUUGACUUAACUUCACAGCCACUUUUUAAGCUUUGUGUAGUGAGGCUAAAGGUAAGACCUGACUUCUCAACUGAAUGUCAUAACAACUUAAAAAUCCUUGCUGUAUGCUGAACAAAAUUUCUGUAUUUAUUUUGCCCAGUGGAAUAACUCUUGAUUCUGAUUUGGCAUUUGUUCCUUUGUGAUAAGAUAUUCAAGGCCACCACAUGCACUGUUGAAAUGCAGUAAAUAU